rnacentral:rRNA from 1 species
GAUGAACGCUAGCUACAGGCUUAACACAUGCAAGUCGAGGGGUAACGAGAGGGAAGCUUGCUUUCCUUGUCGACGACCGGCGCACGGGUGAGUAACGCGUAUCCAACCUGCCCCCAACUAGGGAAUAACCUUGCGAAAGUAAGACUAAUACCCUAUAAUUUCCUCAGAUGUCAUCUGACGAGGAAUAAAGAUUUAUCGGUUGUGGAUGGGGAUGCGUCUGAUUAGCUUGUUGGCGGGGUAACGGCCCACCAAGGCAACGAUCAGUAGGGGUUCUGAGAGGAAGGUCCCCCACAUUGGAACUGAGACACGGUCCAAACUCCUACGGGAGGCAGCAGUGAGGAAUAUUGGUCAAUGGGCGGAAGCCUGAACCAGCCAAGUAGCGUGCAGAAUGACGGCCCUAUGGGUUGUAAACUGCUUUUAUACAGGAAUAAAGUUAGCCACGUGUGGUUAUUUGUAGGUACUGUAUGAAUAAGGACCGGCUAAUUCCGUGCCAGCCGCCGCCGUAAUAC